GACGAACGCUGGCGGCGUGCUUAACACAUGCAAGUCGAACGGAAAGGCCCUGCUUUUGUGGGGUGCUCGAGUGGCGAACGGGUGAGUAACACGUGAGUAACCUGCCCUUGACUUUGGGAUAACUUCAGGAAACUGGGGCUAAUACCGGAUAGGAGCUCCUGCUGCAUGGUGGGGGUUGGAAAGUUUCGGCGGUUGGGGAUGGACUCGCGGCUUAUCAGCUUGUUGGUGAGGUAGUGGCUUACCAAGGCUUUGACGGGUAGCCGGCCUGAGAGGGUGACCGGCCACAUUGGGACUGAGAUACGGCCCAGACUGCUACGGGAGGCAGCAGUGGGGAAUAUUGCACAAUGGGCGGAAGCCUGAUGCAGCAACGCCGCGUGCGGGAUGACGGCCUUCGGGUUGUAAACCGCUUUCGCCUGUGACGAAGCGUGAGUGACGGUAAUGGGUAAAGAAGCACCGGCUAACUACGUG
rnacentral:rRNA from 1 species